CCUACGGGAGGCUGCAGUGAGGGAUAUUGGUCAAUGGGGGAAACCCUGAACCAGCAACGCCGCGUGAGGGAAGACGGUUUUCGGAAUGUAAACUAUUGUCGUUAGGGAAGAGAAAGGACAGUACCUAAGGAGGAAGCUCCGGCUAACUACGUGCCAGCAGCCGCGGUAAUACGUAGGGAGCGAGCGUUAUCCGGAAUUAUUGGGUGUAAAGGGUGCGUAGACGGGAAAACAAGUUAGUUGUGAAAUCCCUCGGCUUAACUGAGGAACUGCAACUAAAACUAUUUUUCUUGAGUGCAGGAGAGGUAAGUGGAAUUCCUAGUGUAGCGGUGAAAUGCGUAGAUAUUAGGAGGAACACCAGUGGCGAAGGCGACUUACUGGACUGUAACUGACGUUGAGGCACGAAAGUGUGGGGAGCAAACAGGAUUAGAUACCCCUGUAGUC
rnacentral:rRNA from 1 species